AAAUAUCUAUGCUAUCUUUUAAAAAUUAUAUGAGUAGAUAGAAAAUUUCAACAGACUACUAUUAACUGUGAUAAAGAAUCAAAUGGAAAUUCCAGAACUGAAAAAUUAACUGAAAUUAAAAACUCAAUAGUUGGAUAUAAGAGCAGAUUAGAAAUUCUUGAAGAACAAACUUAUGAGCAAUAGAAAUUUUGAUGUUAAUACCUAACAAAGUCAGAAAAGGUGUAUUGGAAAAUGGUUUCUCUCAUGUAACUGGUGACAUGUAAACCUAUAUACCACUUUUUGGAAAUACUUUGAUAAUGUGAAUUCACUAUUUGAACAAAAAAAUUUAUAUCUUUUAACCCAGUAAUCUUAUCUCUGGGAAUGUGCCAUAGGAAAUAAGUUUUUAAAUCCACAGUGCCUCAUGUAUGAAGAUAUUCACUACAGACUUAUGAUAGUAAUAACUAUCUACAGACAAUGUUUAAAUACUUUAUUUCAAUUAAUGCAGGUUAAUCCUCACAACAAUCUAUGGUGCUAGUGAACAUUACUAUCCUCAUUGUACAGAUGAGAAAACUGAAACAUUGAGAAGUCAAGUAACUUGCUCAAGAUUAUAUAGCUAGUGCAUAGAGGGGCAAAGAUUUGAACCAGAUUGCCUGGUUCCACAUGCACUUUAACCUGCUUUAUUUAGGCUUUUGAAAGCAACCUAAAUAGCUAACAUUGACUAAAUAAGUGCAGUAUACCUGGUCUGUGUGACAUUUUGCAGGUAUUAAAAAGUGAACAUUCUGAACCCUUUUAGCAAUAUGGCAAAUACUUCUGAUGUGAUGUAUGCAUAUAAAUAUGAUCGAAAGCAAAUAUCCCAAAAGGUUGAUGGCAGUUAUGUCAGGUUAGUAGCACAAUAGUUUCUUUUCUCAUUUUCUCACAUUUUUAGUAAUGUGUGUUGCCUAUAUUAAAAAACAAAUAUUAAAAAGUAGUAGCAUGUAUUAGAUCAGAGCAUGGGCUCAGACUGCCUGUGUCAUCUCUUAUUAGAUGUAUGACCAGGGACAAGUUAUUGACCUUUUGUUUCUAAGUCUCUAAGUUUAUCCUGUAAAAUGAAGAUAAUUGUAGUAACUACCUAAUAACAUGAUUGUAAGGAUUAAAUUAUUUAGAACACUAUUUGUUACUUGGAAAAUAUGCAAUCAUAAGCUAUUUUGUUGUUAUUGUUAUUUUACUACCAAAGCUUAUUGUUUCAGAGCCCCUAGGUGACCAGGCAAAAUGGCAGUUCCUUCCAGCUGGUCCUCAGAUGGGCACAUCUAUUAGUAAGUUUCAUUUCUGUAUUUGGAUCUUUAUUCAUCCUUAUUAUGAAUUCCCCAAUACUGAGGUUUCUAGGAACCUACCUGCCAUUGGCUGAAGGGUUGCUUCUGAAUUCUUUCCCAGAGGCAGUGACAAAAAUCAAACAUCCGAUGUGUUCUUUACCUUUCAGUAAGCUCAGCCUCCCUGCUUGUGUCACAUCUCUAAACAUACGUACAUGCGUGAUUGAAACUGUCUAUUGAAAGCAAUAUUACAUUAACAUUAUCGCCUCUGCUCUUGUAAGAAGUUAGCUGCAGAACCCACAUGUGAAUCCUUGUAG
rnacentral:lncRNA from 10 species